GGNGACAUACCUUUUUAGCUUCUGGAACUUCCUUAGUGCUUUCUUAGGUGGUUGUUGUUGACAGAACCCUUAGGUGUGAGAACCUAUUUUUCUCUAUACUCUUUCUUUCAAUUUCUAUUAUCUCUAGGUCUUUUUCUCUAUUUCUCCAGUCCCUUUUUCCUUCCACAGAGUGUGUAUUUAUAGGCACAUAUUGUAAUAUUAUGACAAUCUUGUCUUAAUUGAGAAUUAAUUGACAAUGGACAAAAUAGGGAAAGAAGUGGUCUUGAUU
rnacentral:lncRNA from 1 species